rnacentral:rRNA from 1 species
AUGCACGCUGGCGGCGUGCCUAAUACCUGCAAGUCGAGCGAACAGACGAGGAGCUUGCUCCUCUGACGUUAGCGGCGGACGGGUGAGUAACACGUGGAUAACCUACCUGUAAGACUGGGAUAACUUCGGGAAACCGGAGCUAAUACCGGAUAAUAUAUUGAACCGCAUGGUUCAAUAGUGAAAGACGGUUUUGCUGUCACUUAUAGAUGGAUCCGCGCCGCAUUAGCUAGUUGGUAAGGUAACGGCUUACCAAGGCGACGAUGCGUAGCCGACCUGAGAGGGUGAUCGGCCACACUGGAACUGAGACACGGUCCAGACUCCUACGGGAGGCAGCAGUAGGGAAUCUUCCGCAAUGGGCGAAAGCCUGACGGAGCAACGCCGCGUGAGUGAUGAAGGUCUUCGGAUCGUAAAACUCUGUUAUUAGGGAAGAACAAAUGUGUAAGUAACUAUGCACGUCUUGACGGUACCUAAUCAGAAAGCCACGGCUAACUACGUG